rnacentral:rRNA from 1 species
CAGCCGCCGCGGUAAAACGAGGGGGGCAAGCGUUAAUCGGAAUUACUGGGCGUAAAGCGUGCGCAGGCGGUUCGUUAAGACAGAUGUGAAAUCCCCGGGCUUAACCUGGGAACUGCAUUUGUGACUGGCGAGCUAGAGUAUGGCAGAGGGGGGUAGAAUUCCACGUGUAGCAGUGAAAUGCGUAGAGAUGUGGAGGAAUACCGAUGGCGAAGGCAGCCCCCUGGGCCAAUACUGACGCUCAUGCACGAAAGCGUGGGGAGCGAACAGGAUUAGAUACCCCAGUAGUCCCUGUCUCUUAUAC